UUUCCGUAGGUGAACCUGCGGAAGGAUCAUUAUUGUAUAACCGAGGUGCGAGGGCUGUCGCUGACCCGAAAGGUCGUGCACGCCCGAGUGCCCUCACACACAUCCAUCUCACCCCUAUGUGCACCACCGCGUGGGUCCCCCUUUGGCUUGUUCGGAGGGGGGCUUACGUUUUCACACAAACUUUGUAUGCAGUGUAGAAGGUAUUUUUUGUUUUUGCGAUCACGCAAUCAAUACAACUUUCAACAACGGAUCUCUUGGCUCUC
rnacentral:misc_RNA from 1 species